rnacentral:rRNA from 1 species
CACGUAGGGGGCGAGCGUUGUCCGGAUUUAUUGGGCGUAAAGAGCUCGUAGGCGGCUCAGUAAGUCAGGUGUGAAAACUCCAGGCUCAACCUGGAGACGCCACCUGAUACUGCUGGGCUAGAGUCCGGAAGAGGCGAGUGGAAUUCCUGGUGUAGCGGUGGAAUGCGCAGAUAUCAGGAGGAACACCAAUAGCGAAGGCAGCUCGCUGGGACGGUACUGACGCUAAGGCGCGAAAGCGUGGGGAGCGAACAGG